ensembl:lncRNA
UUUAGUGAGAACCAUUGGCGAUGGGUGAAUGAUUGGACUGGAUGAUCCUGUGGGUCUUUUCCAACCUUAGCGAUUCUAUGAUUCUAUGAUCUAAGACAUGCUUUGGACAAACUAGGAAUGUUGACAUGGCAUGCAACUAACCAGGAGGGGCAAGAAUAUACUAGGCAGCAAGCUGUCUAAGCUAAUCACCAGGGCUAUAAACUAGAGCUUCUGAGGGAAGGGGAUGCACUGGUGAGUGACACAUGGAUGAAAACAAAUUGAAUCUUGGGCUGCAACCACAGGGACAUUACUAGCAGAGAAAGAGAUGUGCUUUUCAAGGUGUGCACACAAUUCAAAAUAGACAUGGACAGAUGUGAGAGAUCCCAAAGGUGAUCAAAAGACUGGAGAGCCUUUCCUAUGAGGAAAGACUGAAAUACCUCGGUCUUUUAUCUCUCUGAAGAAGAGGCUAAGGCUGGACCUCAUCACAGUGUUCUUGUACUUAAAUGGGGGCUAGAAAGAGAAUGGAGGGUCUCUCUUCACGAGGAGCCACAUGGAGGUAACAAGGAGCAACAGUAGGUGUAAAGGGCAGGAAGAACAAUUACUGAAACGUGCUUCUACAAGGCAGAGCAGAGCACAAGAGGCUAGACAGAGCAUUUCAUUGUCUGAUUACAUCUAUUGAUGGGCUUACAGUGGAUCUGAUUUUAACAGCGAGGAGGAGCCUAUUGAUCCACACUCCAGUCCUUUGAUUUCAGAUGGACCAUUCUUGGGACUGGAGCCAGUGAACCUUGAAUCAGUCACCUCUCCUGGACUCCUUCUUCUGAAGAUUCUCUCCCAUGGAAUUUACCUGAGGAUUUUCCUGAACAGGCCAAAGUCUUUUCUCCUGAAGUCCAAGGCUGUAGUCCUGCUUUUUGCCUUCUCCCUCCUUGGUGGUUCCUGAACUCUACUAUUUCAUGUUCACUGCAUCCUAGGGUGCCUCUGACUUCCACAUACAUUACCCAUUCUUCCUUGUUUAUAUGUAGGAUGUCUAUCAGAUUGUCUCCCAUUUUUGACAUCUUAAUCACUUACAUCAGGAAUUAAUAUACUCUAGAAACCAACUGGACUGUUUGUUCACAGCUGUGUUGUCCCUCCAAAAUUAGCAAGUUGUGCUUAACCUCUAGGUCAUCCAAACUGAGUUUAAAAUGGGGCAGUAGUUUAAUUUUAAUGGAUAAAUAAUUUAGUCCAUCAGGGUAGAAAAGGUUAAGAACCAUUUUCUCAACUGUAACUGCAUUCACACCUGUGAUGUAAAUUUGUUGUGGUAGUAAGUUUCAGAUUGCACCAGAGCAAUAGUAAUGAGAUACGUGAUAUAAUAAUGUAGUUUUAAGCAUUUGAAUAAAGUAUGCAAUUUUGAU